AUUGAACGCUGGCGGCAGGCCUAACACAUGCAAGUCGAGCGGAUGAAGGGAGCUUGCUCCUGGAUUCAGCUGCGGACGGGUGAGUAAUGCCUAGGAAUCUGCCUGGCAGUUGGGGAUAACGUCCGGAAACGGGCGCUAAUACCGCAUACGUCCUGAGGGAGAAAGUGGGGGAUCUUCGGACCUCACGCUAUCAGAUGAGCCUACGUCGCAUUAGCUAGUUGGUUAGGUAACGGCUUACCAAGGCGACGAUCCGUAACCGAUCUGAGAGGGUGAUCAGUCACACUGGAACUAGGGAGCGGUCCAGACGACUACAGGAGGCAGCAGUAGGGAAUCUUGCGCAAUGGGCGAAAGCCUGAAGGAGCAACGCCGCGUGAGUGAAGAAGGUCUUCGGAUCGUAAAACUCUGUUAUUAGGGAAGAACAUAUGUGUAAGUAACUGUGCACAUCUUGACGGUACCUAAUCAGAAAGCCACGGCUAACUACGUG
rnacentral:rRNA from 1 species